AUUGAACGCUGGCGGCAGGCCUAACACAUGCAAGUCGAACGAGUGGCGGACGGGUGAGUAAUGUCUGGGAAACUGCCCGAUGGAGGGGGAUAACUACUGGAAACGGUAGCUAAUACCGCAUACCAUCGGAUGUGCCCAUAUGGGAGUAGCUAGUAGGUUGGGUAACGGCUCACCUAGGCGACGAUCCCUAGCUGGUCUGAGAGGAUGAGCAGACAAAGUGGGACUGAGACACGGUCCAGACUCCUACGGGAGGCAGCAGUGGGGAAUAUUGCACAAUGGGCGCAAGCCUGAUGCAGCCAUGCCGCGUGUAUGAAGAAGGCCUUAGGGUUGUAAAGUACUUUCAGCGAGGAGGCGUUACUCGCAGAAGAAGCACCGGCUAACUCCGUGCCAGCAGCCGCGGUAAUUC
rnacentral:rRNA from 1 species